rnacentral:lncRNA from 1 species
GGCGGACAUCCUCAAGCCCGGGUCUGUUAACACAGACCCAAUCUUCCCCAACAACAAGCUCACCGGGACAGAUGUUGGGUACCCGGGAGGGCUCUGGUUCGACCCACUUGGAUGGGGAAGCGGCUCGCCUGAGAAGAUCAAGGAGUUGAGGACAAAGGAGAUCAAGAACGGAAGGCUGGCUAUGUUGGCUGUGAUGGGAGCUUGGUUCCAACACAUUUACACUGGGACUGGCCCCAUUGACAACCUCUUCGCUCACCUCGCCGAUCCCGGCCAUGCCACCAUUUUUGCUGUAAGUGCAAUUAGUACAUUUUAAAUUGAUUUAAACUAAUUUGAGAACAUGUUUAGGGUUAACAUAUCUAAUUGUUUUGGUUGUUUUUUGACAGUCUUUUUCCCCGAAGUGAGGAAAGAAGGAGAAUUCUAAUUGGGAUUCAAGUGCGGGAGGAGAAGGGGCAACGUUGGUAGGACAAAAAACUUGUAAUUUUAUCUGCUUGCCUUGUGUACAAAAAUCUAUUUGGAACCUUCAUUCCAAUAUGUAUGAAAUCAGCUGGUGAC